AAAUUGAAGAGUUUGAUCAUGGCUCAGAUUGAACGCUGGCGGCAGGCCUAACACAUGCAAGUCGAACGGUAACAGGAAGCAGCUUGCUGCUUCGCUGACGAGUGGCGGACGGGUGAGUAAUGUCUGGGAAACUGCCUGAUGGAGGGGGAUAACUACUGGAAACGGUGGCUAAUACCGCAUAACGUCGCAAGACCAAAGAGGGGGACCUUCGGGCCUCUUGCCAUCAGAUGUGCCCAGAUGGGAUUAGCUGGUUGGUGAGGUAACGGCUCACCAAGGCGACGAUCCCUAGCUGGUCUGAGAGGAUGACCAGCCACACUGGAACUGAGACACGGUCCAGACUCCUACGGGAGGCAGCAGUGGGGAAUAUUGCACAAUGGGCGCAAGCCUGAUGCAGCCAUGCCGCGUGUAUGAAGAAGGCCUUCGGGUUGUAAAGUACUUUCAGCGGGGAGGAAGGUGUUGUGGUUAAUAACUGCAGCAAUUGACGUUACCCGCAGAAGAAGCACCGGCUAACUCCGUGCCAGCAGCCGCGGUAAUACGGAGGGUGCAAGCGUUAAUCGGAAUUACUGGGCGUAAAGCGCACGCAGGCGGUCUGUCAAGUCGGAUGUGAAAUCCCCGGGCUCAACCUGGGAACUGCAUUCGAAACUGGCAGGCUUGAGUCUUGUAGAGGGGGGUAGAAUUCCAGGUGUAGCGGUGAAAUGCGUAGAGAUCUGGAGGAAUACCGGUGGCGAAGGCGGCCCCCUGGACAAAGACUGACGCUCAGGUGCGAAAGCGUGGGGAGCAAACAGGAUUAGAUACCCUGGUAGUCCACGCCGUAAACGAUGUCUACUUGGAGGUUGUGCCCUUGAGGCGUGGCUUCCGGAGCUAACGCGUUAAGUAGACCGCCUGGGGAGUACGGCCGCAAGGUUAAAACUCAAAUGAAUUGACGGGGGCCCGCACAAGCGGUGGAGCAUGUGGUUUAAUUCGAUGCAACGCGAAGAACCUUACCUGGUCUUGACAUCCACAGAACUUUCCAGAGAUGGAUUGGUGCCUUCGGGAAC
rnacentral:rRNA from 1 species